AUGGGUUUUACUUGAUGUUCAUCUAUGUAGCGAGCAAACUAAUAUAUUAGCAGAGAAAAACUUAAUAUGGAGGAAAACUGAGUACCUCUAUUUCAUUGAAAAACAAAGUGAACUGAAUACAACGCAAAUAAAACAAUACAACUGUGCACACCCAGGGUGGUGGCUGAAAACUCGGAAACUGCAAAACUAACUUCCUAGUCUCAUUCAAACUCUAUCACCUAUCCACUACCUUCCUAUUACUACGUUACUGACUACAUCGUGCUUUCAUGCAACGUAUCAGCAAUUUAUUUACUGAAAUAAAAUAUAAAAACAUGUUUGGAUUAAAUAUAACUCCAACAAUCUAAAGAUUCUUGUAUAAUAUGUAUAUGUUCAUUUACUGGAAACUCCUGAUGGAACAAUUUUUGGGAGCAAUGUCAUUGCACGAUAUGGUAAGCUUUAAACCUUCUUUUGUUCAUUUUUCCAGUAUAUAUUGAUUAAUUCUUAUUUGGUUCUUAAUAUCUUUUGCUUAAGCACUAAAUCGAAUGUAGUAAUAUAAAUUUUACUUUAUUUUACUUAUUCCAAUUGUAGUUUGUUUCUUCCCUUGAUUCCAAAACUUUUUAAUUACAUAUACAACAACAAAUAAAUAAAUAAAUAAAUAAAGCACUUCAUCUUACUCUUAUCUCGACUCUGUGAAUUCUGGGACUCAUUUUUGCCUUGAGCUCCUCUACCACCACCUGAUCUGCCAUUGUAAUUUCCUCUGCCACGAAAUGAACCCCUGCCUCGAUUCUUCGAAAAACCGUCCGAAGCACCCCUGGUUGAUCGUGUCAGCAACAGCUUUCCUUCAUUACUGUUGUCCUCAGACCCACGUACUCGCUCCUCAUGAGCUUUCAACCGGCCAAUGGUCUCUUCGACAGUCAUUGACUUAAGAUUACCAAAUUGUUCUAUCGUAGAAGCAAUUUGUACAAACUUGUGUGGGACAACACACAAUAUUUUCUUCACUACAUAGGACUCUUCCAUCGGUUCACCCAGAGUGCGUAUGUUUGUGACAAUACCACCUAGCUUCAUGUAAAACUCGUCCAAACUCUCUGUCUCCUUCAUGGACAAAGCCUCAAAUUCAGCCUUGAGUGUCUGCACCUUGGCCUCUUAAACUCUUUCUGCCCCCAUACACAUAGUCUUUAUUGCUUCCCAUGCCACCUUAGCUGUUUUCUUACCGGCUAGAGUUAACAUGAACUCCUCUGGAAUUCCUUGAUAAAUAGCAGCCAGCGCCAUUUUAUCCAUCCGUGUUUCAACGUUCACCUUCGGGUCACUAGGCUCCACAGCCUCCCAAACUCCCUGAGCUUCCAUGAAGACCUGCAUCUUCAUUGACCACGCCGUGUAGUUGGAUCUUGACAACAUUGGAUAGUUUAUACUCACUGUUCCCUCCUUUACUUUUGAUGCCUCCAUAGUCAUCAAUCUCGGCAUAUAUUUUGGCAUAAACAACCUCGCUCUGAUACCAAAUGUAGCGAGCAAACUAAUAUAUUAGCAGAGAAAAACUUAAUAUGGAGGAAAACUGAGUACCUCUAUUUCAUUGAAAAACAAAGUGAACUGAAUACAACGCAAAUAAAACAAUACAACUGUGCACACCCAGGGUGGUGGCUGAAACCUCGGAAACUGCAAAACUAACUUCCUAGUCUCAUUCAAACUCUAUCACCUAUCCACUACCUUCCUAUUACUACGUUACUGACUACAUCGUGCUUUCAUGCAACGUAUCAGCAAUUUAUUUACUGAAAUAAAAUAUAAAAACAUGUUUGGAUUAAAUAUAACUCCAACA
rnacentral:lncRNA from 1 species